rnacentral:rRNA from 1 species
UACAGAGGGUGCAAGCGUUAAUCGGAAUUACUGGGCGUAAAGCGCGCGUAGGUGGUUUGUUAAGUUGGAUGUGAAAUCCCCGGGCUCAACCUGGGAACUGCAUUCAAAACUGACAAGCUAGAGUAUGGUAGAGGGUGGUGGAAUUUCCUGUGUAGCGGUGAAAUUCGUAGAUAUUCGGAGGAACACCAGUGGCGAAGGCGGCUCACUGGUCCAUUACUGACGCUGAGGUGCGAAAGCGUGGGGAGCAAACAGG